GCGGGCCGUGAGAGCGGGAGCCCGGAGAUGGGCACUGAGACAAGGGCCCAGGCCCUACGGGGCGCAGCAGUCGCGAAAACUUUGCAAUAAGCGAAAGCUUGACAGGGCUAUCCCGAGUGCCAUCCGCUGAGGAAGGCUUUUACCCAGUCUAGAACGCUGGGGGAAUAAGGAGAGGGCAAGUCUGGUGUCAGCCGCCGCGGUAAUACCAGCUCUCCGAGUGGUGUGGAUGUUUAUUGGGCCUAAAGCAUCCGUAGCUGGCUAGGUAAGUCCCUUGUUAAAUCCACCGAAUUAAUCGUUGGAUCGCGGGGGAUACUGCUUGGCUAGGGGACGAGAGAGGCAGACGGUAUUCUCGGGGUAGGGGUGAAAUCCUAUAAUCCCGGGAAGACCACCAGU
rnacentral:rRNA from 1 species